UCACCAUGAAGUACCCACUCAUUACGCGGUGCAAACUGCCCCUGCUUACCAUGCCGCUCCAGCGAUCCACUCUGCUCCUAUCCACACAUCAAUCAUCCACCCUGCGCCUGUUAUCCAUGCCGCACAAGUAGCCCAUGCCCCUGUCCACUCUGCGCCAGAACACGCUGCCCCGGUUGCUCAUAGCUCGGGUCACGAAGAAGAUCACUACGUUGGCGAAUACGCUCACCCCAAAUACGGCUACUCGUACUCAGUAGAAGACCCCCAUACUGGUGACCAUAAAUCCCAUCACGAAAACCGCGACGGUGACGUAGUCAAGGGCGAAUACUCUUUUCUUCAGCCUGAUGGCUCUUUCCGCAAGGUGACUUACACUGCUGACCAUCAUAAUGGAUUCAACGCUGUCGUCCACAACUCGCCUCCAGUCAUCCAUCAUCAUUAGAGCUUGUCAACUGAACUGUGAUAUUAGUGUAGAUAAUUUAGUUCUCUAGAUAAGCUUAUAAAUACCAGUGUAUUCUUCGUGAUCUUCGGCUCUUGUAACUUUUGCUUUAUUAUUAAUAAAAUGUAUGAUGGGUUUCAUUAAUACAUAAUAUCAACAUGGUGUAAUGGUUCUCGAAAAAAUUUAUCAGAUGAUUCUCAAUUUAAACAUUUGUUUAUUUGAUGCAAUAUUGUUACACCUGCCAAAAUAUGUAAGAAUUUUAAUGAGUGUGUUUUUUGAAUGUUUUGUGUGGUGAUAUAUUUUAUAUUAUUGUAUGAGUGUAUGUGAAACCCAACACUUUGAAUAAAAUAUCUUUAUACUUUAAA